AUUUCGAGGUGCCACCUCGUCCUCAGAAGAAUCACUUUCUUCAGCCCCUUUAUCAGAUUGUAGCCACCGCUUUGAUCUUCAUUAUCUGUGCCAUCACUAUUGUCCGUGUCAAUAGAACCCUGCAAUAACUACUCUUAAUAAUAUAGAAGAACAGCAAGACACAGAGACAGAAGAGUCUCUCAGGCAAAACAUGAGAUUUAAAAAUAUCCAAGGUAAUGAGGCUUUCUUCCCUCUGAUAGUUGAAAACACCAAAAAAGUAUCAAUUAAAUUGUUAGACGCCCUCAAUCCUUUUGAUGAGACUGCAACUUCCAACAAAAAAUUAUUGUAAUCUUAUUAAUUAUUUUGCUCUCAUUUCUUUUGUUCCAAGAAGACAUCAUAGAUAGCAUCAAAAUUUGCAUUUUUCUGAUAUUUUUUGCAGGCGGCCAUGAUCAGAAUGCCAACGUGCACAAAAUUAAUGAGUCCUACAUAGAAACAAGAAACAAUGAAGCAAAAUGCAAUGGCAUAAAUAAAAGAUCCUUAGGCUACAAAAAUAGAAUUGAGAGAGUCAUGAAGUUAUAUUUUGAGAUUAACCUUUCCUAUCAUCAAAAUUAGGAGAAAAAUAUGUAUUUACAUUCUCUUCUCCCUUCAAUUCCUCAGCAAUAGAACAGGGUACUAGCAACCCAAUAACCAAAACAGCUAAAAGUAGAAAUUACACCGGGAAACAGGUACAUACGAAUACCCAAAUGGCUCAAAUGUGGCGUUUGUUCCUUAGUAAUAAAAUUGGGACGUAGAAAUAAUCGAAGAAGCUACCUGGAUCAGAAUCAGUAGCUCACUCUUCUUCUUCUAAUUUCUAAUGGUGUUGAGGUUCUUCGCAGUUAUUAAGCUUCUCCUUCUUGGAAUGGUUUGUUACGAUCUUUCCUUUGCCUUCAGUAUUGUCAUUCUUCUGCUUCGCUGAUUCGACCUGAAGAGACUCCUUCUUGUUCUUCUCCACCCUCAUUUUCCCUCUCUCUCUCUGAAAGAUUUCUCUCAAAGGGAAGUUGGGUGGAGAGAGAAGGCUGCAAAGCCUGGUUGAGGGGCUUCGGGUUUUUCAGAGGCUUAGGAACGGAAU
rnacentral:misc_RNA from 1 species